rnacentral:rRNA from 1 species
AACGAACGCUGGCGGCAGGCUUAACACAUGCAAGUCGAGCGCCCCGCAAGGGGAGCGGCAGACGGGUGAGUAACGCGUGGGAAUCUACCCAGCUCUACGGAACAACUCCGGGAAACUGGAGCUAAUACCGUAUACGUCCUUCGGGAGAAAGAUUUAUCGGAGUUGGAUGAGCCCGCGUUGGAUUAGCUAGUUGGUGGGGUAAUGGCCUACCAAGGCGACGAUCCAUAGCUGGUCUGAGAGGAUGAUCAGCCACACUGGGACUGAGACACGGCCCAGACUCCUACGGGAGGCAGCAGUGGGGAAUAUUGGACAAUGGGCGCAAGCCUGAUCCAGCCAUGCCGCGUGAGUGAUGAAGGCCCUAGGGUUGUAAAGCUCUUUCACCGGUGAAGAUAAUGACGGUAACCGGAGAAGAAGCCCCGGCCAACUUCGUGCCAGCCGCCGCCGUAA